rnacentral:rRNA from 1 species
GACGAACGCUGGCGGCGUGCCUAAUACAUGCAAGUUGAGCGAUGAAGAUUGGUGCUUGCACCAAUUUGAAGAGCAGCGAACGGGCGAGUAACGCGUGGGGAAUCUGCCUUUGAGCGGGGGACAACAUUUGGAAACGAAUGCUAAUACCGCAUAACAACUUUAAACAUAAGUUUUAAGUUUGAAAGAUGCAAUUGCAUCACUCAAAGAUGAUCCCGCGUUGUAUUAGCUAGUUGGUGAGGUAAAGGCUCACCAAGGCGAUGAUACAUAGCCGACCUGAGAGGGUGAUCGGCCACAUUGGGGCUGAGACACGGCCCAAACUCCUACGGGAGGCAGCAGUAGGGAAUCUUCGGCAAUGGACGAAAGUCUGACCGAGCAACGCCGCGUGAGUGAAGAAGGUUUUCGGAUCGUAAAACUCUGUUGGUAGAGAAGAACGUUGGUGAGAGUGGAAAGCUCAUCAAGUGACGGUAACUACCCAGAAAGGGACGGCUAACUACGUG